AGGCGAGAGGCGCGCAGCGAAGCGCUCGCCUUUUUGAUGUGAGGCAACAAUUUAUAAAAAAACUAUAUAUAUAUAUAACUAAAAACUCAAUAACAAUAUUAAUAAUAAAUAUAUAAAUUUAAUAAUUAAAAACUCAAUAGAUAGUCAAACUCAUAAAAUAAGCAACAUCUAUUCUUCUUGAAGAUUUUAAAAUUCUACAACAUCAUAACUGAUAGCAUUAUAUUGGCUAUCAUCUUCUUCAUCCUCGGACACUUCAUCAAUUAGGGUGGACC
rnacentral:lncRNA from 1 species